rnacentral:rRNA from 1 species
AUUAAAAGAAUCGAUGACAAUAUUGUAUUACCAUCAAAGUAUUUUAAAGGGGUUAUUAAAGAUAAAUAAGCAAAUUUAUAAAAAAGGAGGUUUAAAACCAAAAUAGCUCUUUAAAAAAAGCGAUCCUAAGGUAAACCUUUUAUUAAUUACUUCCUUAAGUAAAACAUUUCAUUAAGGAAAGGAAAGGAAAUCAACCGAGACUCCGAAAGUAAUGGUGAGUGAAAUCGGACUAGCCUGAUUACUUAAAAAAUUGAAUUAAUUAAAAUAUAAAAUUUAUAAAAAUUGUAAAAUUUACUUACCUGAUGCCUAAAAACAAAAGGUAAAUUUGAAUCAUAAAUUUUUAAUUUAUUAUGAUUUUAUAGCAUAUUAAAAUGCUCUAGAAUAGGUUGUAAUAGUCCUGUAGAUUUUAAAUAAGUAAUUAAAUAUUAUAUGAAUUUAUUAUUCUAUAAUUUAAAAGUACAAUGAGAGAAAACUUGUUGGAAUAUAGGGGAACCAUCCUCUAAGGCUAAGUAUUAUAAAUUUAGCAUUAGUGAAAAGUACUGUAAAGGAAAUUUUGAAACAGAUAGUUUAUUAACAAAUUUAACAAUAACAGUUAAUAUUUUAUUUAUUUUUAAGUUAAUCUAACGAUUAAUAAUUAAAUAAAUCAUUCUAAAGAAUGAGUAGAAUUUUUUUUCUAUUAAAAAUUGAAAUAGUUUGAAUUAGUAACUCUAUAAGCAGUCGAAAUUCUUCGUAGUUGCGAAAAAAGAAUGACGGCGUACCUUUUGCAUAAUGGGUCAGCAAGUUAAUAGGAGUAGCAAGGUUAAAAGCCUUAGCGAAAGCGACUGGAUUAUUUUUUAUAAUUGUUAAAUUUAUAUUUAACAUAUUAUUUUAUAUAGUGAUGGAUAAGUUACUUCUAUUAGACCCGAAGCCAGGUGAUCUUACCUAGACCAGAUUAUAAUGGAUCGAACGGGUGAAUGUUGCAUAAUUCUCCGAUGAGUUUAGGUAAGCGGCGAAAUACCAAUCUGACCUGGUGAUAUCUGGUUUUCUACCGAAACAUAUUUUAGUAUGACGUCUACAUUUAAAAAAUUUAUGGAGGUACAGAAAGGCAACUCCCAACAAGAAUCAGGUAUAUGAUUAAAUCAUAUUUAACCUUUUAGGCGUUUAGUGAUGCGGGGAUCUAGAAAAUCUUACCUUUGGUGGCGAAUCUCGGAAUUACAUAAAUUGAUAGUAGAUAUUCAGACUACGCUUGCUAAGUUGAGUAGUCAAGACGGAAACAGCCGAGAACACAGAUCAAGGUCCCAAAUGAUUGUUAAGUGAAAUUAAGGACGUAGCAAAAUAUCGUAUACAGCUGAAAAGUGAGCCUGGUAGUCGCUACUUAUAAUGAUCGUUUGUAACAACGCAUCAGCAGUUUAGAUUUGUUGCGCUGAAAAUUUAACGGGUCUUAAACAAUCAACCGAUAUCGUGUUGAUAUUAAUUAAGUUUAAUUAUAUUCAAUAUUCAAUUUAAUAUUAAAAUGGAUAUUAAUAUUUUUAUUUAAUUUUUAUCUAGGUAGUAGAACAUUCAGUUUAACUAAUGAUUAAAUAGUGUUUCAUUAUUUUUAGGAAACUGAAGAGAGAAUGCUGACAUGAGUAACGUAAAAGAAGAAUUUAAUUCUUCUCGCCGAAAACGAAAGGGUUACCGUUCAUCUAUUAAAUAAAAUUGAGUGUGAAUGCGGCCUCUAAGGACCUUAACCACUGUUAAGGCUGAUGAGUAAAUAAUAGAAAGUCCUGUUCUUUGUCAUUUUAAUUUAAUUUAAUAAAGAAAAUAAUGGACCAGGAAAUUAAUAUUAAAUAAAUCUUAUAUUAUUAUUUGAUAAUAUCACCAUAAGUUUAUAUGUUGAACAAGAUUUAUAAAAUUACUACCGUACCCUAAACCGACACUGGUUCGUAGGUAGAGAAUACUAAGGCGUAGAGCGAAAAGUUGUUAAGGAACUCGGCAAAAUAACCUCAUAAGUUAGGCGAAAAGAGGUACCACUUAUAUUUACUAAUUUUACUAAUUUUAAUAUUAGAUUUAAAAGUUAUUAAAUUAAGGGGGUGUCACAGAAUCGGAGGCCCCGACUGUUUACUAAAAACACAUCUCUGUGCAAUCAUUAAUAUGAUAGUAUACAGAGAGAGAUUUGCCCGAUGCCAUUAAUAUAAGAGAGGUCAUGAAAGUGACUGGUCGAAAGUCUGGUUAAUAGCGGUCUUAACCAUGAGGAUCCUAAGGUAGCAUAAUCAGUUGGCCAUUAAAUGUGGUCUUGUAUCAAUAGUUUAACGAUGGUCUCACUGUCUCUACAACUUGCUCAGUGAAAUUGAAUUACCCGUGCAGAUGCGGGUUAUCUUCAGAGGGACGGGAAGACCCUAUGCAGCUUUACUGUAGUUAGUAAUAACGUAUAUCUAAAACAACUUUAAUGAAUAAAGAAUAGGUAUGUCGAUAGACUAAUAGUGGAAACCUUAGGAUUAAAGUUGGGUAUAUGGAUUACCUUUAUUAAAAAGGGACAUGUUACUAAUUGGCAGUUUGACUGGGGCGGUCGUCUUUAAUAUAGUAUCAAAGUACAUCCAAAAUUAUUAAAAAUUAAAAUUAAGUUAAUUAGCUCUACUCCUUCGGAGCACUCGGCUGCGGAACUAGAGAUAACUUAAAUUAAAAAAAAUGAAACCUUAACUUAAAAAGUUAAGUGUAAACUAUUAAAAUGUAAAUGUAAAUUUGCAUUUUACUUAAAAAUAAUUUAUUUUCUGUUUGUUAAAAAUAAUAAGAUUAAUAGAUAGAUGAUAAAUAAUAAUUAAUUUAACAAUAAUAAUUAUAUAAAAUAAACUUUGCCUUCGUCCCUUCUAUGAGGGGAAAUCUUUCCUUCCUACACCGGCCAGCUUCGCUUCUUCGGCGAACAGGAACAGAUUCAUCUCCCAUUUCUUCUAUUAGGAGAAUUAAUUUAAUUUAUAAAGUUAUUAUGCUCCGCACAAUAAUUUUAUAAAUAUGGGGGAUCGGGGCUUAGAAAACAAAUUUUAUCAAUAUUAAAUUAUUAAUUAUAUUUAAUAU